ACCACUUUGGUGAUCAGGUAUCCAGGCUCUGCUGCCCUGGGCAAUAGCUCCGUACAGGGUGCUGAGGCAUUCUGCAUCGGGUAGAGCACGAAAGGUGAAUUGUCAUUGUCAUCUAGCACUACCACACGCACGAGGGCCUGGCUGCUGAGCGCAGGUGAGCCUCCAUCUGUGGCGUCCACGUGCAGUUCGAAGGCCUGAAGCAUCUCAUAGUCCAUCGCCCUGAGCGCAAACAGCUGCCCAUUGUCUGAAUUGAUGGAGACUAGCGAGGCGAGGGCCAGCUGUGAAUCGUGGGGCGGCAGCAGCGAGUAGGUGAUGUGGGCGUUGGAGCCUGAAUCUGAGUCUGUGGCACUGAUGGUGCCUAUAUGCAGGGCGGGACUGUUGUUCUCUUGCACAAACAGGGUAUAGGAUGUUUGGGUGAAGGCAGGGGCGUUGUCGUUGAUGUCGGCCACCUGCACUGUUAUGGUGUGCUGGGUUGUGAGCCUGGGUGUGCCCAAAUCCCAGACAGUGAUGGUGAUGUUGUACUCAGCUCUGCUCUCUCUAUCAAGUGGCCCCUCGGUCACUAAGGUGUAGUAAUUCUCAAAUGUGGGUUUCAGGAGAAAUGGGAUAUUGUUCUGAAUAGAACACACUAUCCUUCCGUUGUCCCCCGAAUCAGAAUCAGAAACACUAAAAACAGCAACUACAGUCUCGGCGGAAUUUUCUGGGACAGGGACUGUGAGCUUCCUGAUCGCCAACUCUGGGGCGUUGUCAUUCACAUCCAACACCUGUAUAACCACAGUGCAUUUUCCUGAAAGGCCCCCUCCAUCGGUGGCUGCAAUUUCUAUGGUAUAAUGGUGACUUACCUCGAAAUCUAGCUCUUUGGUCAGACGGAUUUCUCCUGUGAUUUUGUCUAUUACAAAUGGUUGAGAUAAUCCAUCCCCUUGAAACAGAGAAUAGGCGACAUUGCCAUAUAUCCCAGCAUCUAAGUCCGUGGCAGAGACCAUGACAACUAAGGCAUUGAGGGGACUGUUCUCAGGAACUUGCACCUCAUAGAGUGACUGUAUAAACUGGGGGGCGUUAUCAUUGAUGUCCACGACUUCAAUGUGAACUUCGGUGGUUCCUGACCUGGGUGGGGAUCCGCCAUCAAGAGCAGUGAGGGUUAAAGUGAGCUCAGGCUGCUCCUCCCUGUCCAGGGCUCUGUCCAGCACCAGCUCUGGGUAUUUCCUGCCAUCUGAGCGACUGAGAGUAACCACAUGGAAAUGGAUGUUGGGAUUGACUGUGUAGUUCUGAACGGCAUUGCUCCCUAUGUCAGAGUCAUGAGCUGCCUUCAGAGGAAACACAGUCCCUGGCUGGGCGUUCUCAGGAAUUGUUAGAAGCAUUUCCGUGUCAGAGAACUCCGGAGAGUGGUCGUUUAUAUCAGUGAGCUGCAGUUCAGUUUGGAAGAACUGCACAGGGUUUUCCAGUAUGAUCUGGAAGUGCAGCACACAGGGUUCUGUCGCCCCACACAGUGCCUCCCGGUCUAGUUUUUCCUUUAAGAACAAAUUCCCAGUCUCUGCAUCCAUCUGCAAGAGCUCUUUGUUUCCUCUGUAAUGGAUUUGAGCUCCUCUAGUGGCCAGUUCUUCAACCCUGAGCCCCAGAUCUUUUGCCACGUUUGCCACCAAAUAGCCACUCUCCUUUUCUUCUGGCAUGGAAUAUCUAAUUGCCUCAGAGUCAGACUUCCAAAACAGCAACAAUAUAGUAAGAAAAAAGACUUGCCUUUGCCCUGGCAUUUUUGCUAGCGCUGUCUCCGUUGUGCAGAUUCAGUCCAGAAGGUGCUGCUUCAAGUGGAUUGCAACCACUCGUGAGGGUCCGUGCAAAUAUUGGAGUAAAUCCAAUUAGGGAGACGCCUUCUUCCCAAAUGAUCACACAAACCCUACCCAAUUACUUCCACCUCCAAAGCUUCCGAAAUUCUGCUUUUCAGGUUAAUGAAAUGACUUCCUGGGAGUCUGCAGAGCUCAUUCUUCAUAUUCUUAGCCUGCAGCGCCACCAAGUGUCCUUUUUUCCUCUUACAUUUCAUUUUGCCAUUUCAAAGCACAUUUAAAUCCUGAUGUGUUUCGGUAUCCUUUUAAUUUACACAAGUGGCCUGAAGUGUGAGCUCCGUUCUUAGCAACCAGAAAUUCUACAUAUGAUUUUGGUGAAUUAAAUUGGGCUGCAAGAAUAUAUUUUAUUUUUAUUUUUAAGCAGUUUUUGAUCACCUUUCUAAAGACUGCCACCAUUUGGAUUUUUGAGACAUGCACCCUCAAAGGCUCAGCUCCUCUGUCUAGUAUGCUGCUUGUGAUUUAAUAUCAGGUAGAAAAAGGACAAGAGAUCUGACCACAGUGACGGCUGGUAUCAACUCCGAGGCUUUAAGACCCAGAAGAAGCCAAUUUUCAGCCUGUGUCUGGCUCACAACAAGUCUGCUUUAAUGGAAGGGAGUUAAGGAGCUGUGAUACUUGAGAUUCUCAUCUGUACAUUUUAGAAUUUUAUUAUCUGCCAUAUUCACCAUCUGGCCAGGAGCAAGACCAAAGAAACUCUGCCUUGGAUCCUUCCAAGUGCUGAGCAUUCUGAAGAGUUCAUCUUUCGUGAUAUCAGGGAGAAUAUAGCCAUACUUCAUGGUGAGUUCAAGUCUUGCUUAGGGAAACUUGGCAGGGUUGGGCAGGUACCCCAAUUUUUUCCAUCAGUAUAAUAGGGCACCAGAGCUUCAGGUAGGAUCACUUGUUUUGGAAUGUGUUGUCCCCACAGAAAGAGUGGAACAGGUUUGUGCCAAAUCUUCAUACUUCGUGGGUCAUAAAAGGCUGUAGUAACAAAACCACCAUUUUUUCAAUUGUAGCAAUUGAAGCCAACUGCACCUCAAUAUUAACUUUUGCUUGAAAAAUAUCAGUACCUUCUUCAAAUGGCUGGACCCCAUAAUUGCUUUUAAGUGCUGGCAUGGUCACAUCUCUCCCAUUCAUAAUCUGGAUUAGGUCAAUAUAUUGAGUUGGAACAACUCGACUUAAAUCAACGAGAUCCUGUAGUCCCCUGAGACUCAAAGGCUGGUACUGGUGUCUGAAACCAUGUUCUUCAUUAAAUCCAUGUUUUGGGAUUCAGAUGUAAAAUAGAGUCUGCCCUCUGUCAGAGUCCAGCUAAGGCUGUGUUCCUCUCUGAUUUUCUCCUUUAUGGCCUCUGCCACAUUUCCUACGUUUUCUCGAAUCUCUUGGAUGUCUUUCCUAUUUUCUGGAAUUAGGGUUGGGCUUCAGGCUCUCCAGGAUCACUCACAACAAGGACCACCUCAGGUCCAGGUUGGACUUGCAGCUGUGUACCACGUCAUCCAUGAAUCUUUUCAGAGGCCAAGAAUACAUCUAAAUACAUUUUCAAACAAACUAAAAGGCAAUUAUUUGUUUUUAUAAGACUAUUGAGUAGACGAAUCCACUUUCUUGCAUAAGUUUGAAAUUUUAUUUUGUUCAAGAAGGUAAACAUGAUGAUAUAUAGAAUAAUUAAUUAUACACUUUUUAUAUUUGCUUUGAAAUACACCAUACAUCCAGGAGGAAAAAGUCAUAAUUGUAUACUCAUUGAAUUUUUAUAAUGCUAUUUAGCUCAACUUAGACAAUAAAUAAAAUAGGCUAAAUUCCAAGAAAAGCUGCUCUUCUAUUGCUCGAUUACUUCUCCAAAUGUUAGGCAGUCUUCAUGUGUAGUUGUACUAAGACCAUAGAAGUGUAAGAGUUCCAGUUGUUCCACAUCUCUGAUAGCACUUGGUGUCUUUCUCAGUUUUUACAACAUUACUGAGCAUGCUGUGACUUAAUAGGGUAAAUUUCAUUAGCAUUUGUCUGCAUUCAUGAAGUUUUGUACAUUUUCUGUUUAGUGGCCAUCAGGUUACUGUCUUUUGAGAUGCUUGUUCAUGUUAUUUGUGUGUGUGUUUGUGUGUGUGUUUAUGUGUGUGUGUUUGUGUGUGUGUUUAUGUGUGUGUGUUUGUGUGUGUGUUUGUGUGUGUGUGUUUGUGUGUAUGUGUGUGGCUUCUCUUUGCUUGUUGCUUUGAGAAGUAUCUUGUAUAUUCUGAGUGUAAUUUCUUUUUUCAGAUAUAUAUGUUCAAAUAUCUCCCACUGUAUGUCUUGAAUUUUUUGAUAUUGUACUUUAAUCAAUAAAACAUCUUAAUUGUGUUUAGUUUG
rnacentral:lncRNA from 1 species